AGUGAACGCUGGCGGUAGGCCUAACACAUGCAAGUCGAACGGCAGCACAGUAAGAGCUUGCUCUUACGGGUGGCGAGUGGCGGACGGGUGAGGAAUACAUCGGAAUCUACUUUUUCGUGGGGGAUAACGUAGGGAAACUUACGCUAAUACCGCAUACGACCUACGGGUGAAAGCAGGGGAUCUUCGGACCUCGCGCGAUUGAAUGAGCCGAUGUCGGAUUAGCUAGUUGGCGGGGUAAAGGCCCACCAAGGCGACGAUCCGUAGCUGGUCUGAGAGGAUGAUCAGCCACACUGGAACUGAGACACGGUCCAGACUCCUACGGGAGGCAGCAGUGGGGAAUAUUGGACAAUGGGCGCAAGCCUGAUCCAGCCAUACCGCGUGGGUGAAGAAGGCCUUCGGGUUGUAAAGCCCUUUUGUUGGGAAAGAAAAGCAGCAGGUUAAUACCCCGCUGUUCUGACGGUACCCAAAGAAUAGGCACCGGCUAACUUCGUG
rnacentral:rRNA from 1 species